rnacentral:rRNA from 1 species
UACGUAGGGGGCGAGCGUUGUCCGGAAUUACUGGGCGUAAAGGGUGCGUAGGCGGUCUGGUAAGUUGGAUGUGAAAUACCCGGGCUUAACUUGGGUGCUGCAUCCAAUACUGUCGGACUUGAGUGCAGGAGAGGAAAGCGGAAUUCCUAGUGUAGCGGUGAAAUGCGUAGAUAUUAGGAGGAACACCAGUGGCGAAGGCGGCUUUCUGGACUGUAACUGACGCUGAGGCACGAAAGCGUGGGGAG